rnacentral:rRNA from 1 species
UACGUAGGUCCCGAGCGUUGUCCAGAUUUAUUGGGCGUAAAGCGAGCGCAGGUGGUUUAUUAAGUCUGGUGUAAAAGGCAGUGGCUCAACCAUUGUAUGCAUUGGAAACUGGUAGACUUGAGUGCAGGAGAGGAGAGUGGAAUUCCAUGUGUAGCGGUGAAAUGCGUAGAUAUAUGGAGGAACCCCGGUGGCGAAAGCGGCUCUCUGGCCUGUAACUGACACUGAGGCUCGAAAGCGUGGGGAGCAAACAGG